CAUCUAAGCGGGAAGCACGCCCCAAGAUGAGAUCUCCCGAGAGCUUGACUCUCCUCAAGGCACCAUCAAGACCAGGUGGUUGAUAGGUCAGAUGUGGAAGCGCAGCAAUGCGUUCAGCUAACUGAUACUAAUGAGCCGUGCGGCUUGACCAUAUAACCCCAAGUAG
rnacentral:rRNA from 1 species